rnacentral:rRNA from 1 species
UAGUUGCCAGCAUUCGGUUGGGCACUCUAGAGGGACUGCCGGCGACAAGUCGGAGGAAGGUGGGGAUGACGUCAAAUCAUCAUGCCCCUUAUGACCUGGGCUACACACGUGCUACAAUGGGCGGUACAAAGGGCUGCGAACCCGCGAGGGGGAGCGAAUCCCAAAAAGCCGCUCUCAGUUCGGAUUGCAGGCUGCAACUCGCCUGCAUGAAGCCGGAAUCGCUAGUAAUCGCGGAUCAGCAUGCCGCGGUGAAUACGUUCCCGGGCCUU